UAAUACAUAAGUAACCUGCCCUAGACAGGGGGAUAACUAUUGGAAACGAUAGCUGAGACCGCAUAGGUACGGACACUGCAUGGUGACCGUAUUAAAAGUGCCUCAAAGCACUGGUAGAGGAUGGACUUAUGGCGCAUUAGCUGGUUGGCGGGGUAACGGCCCACCAAGGCGACGAUGCGUAGCCGACCUGAGAGGGUGACCGGCCACACUGGGACUGAGACACGGCCCAG
rnacentral:rRNA from 1 species